AGUGAACGCUGGCGGUAGGCCUAACACAUGCAAGUCGAACGGCAGCACAGUAAGAGCUUGCUCUUACGGGUGGCGAGUGGCGGACGGGUGAGGAAUACAUCGGAAUCUACUUUUUCGUGGGGGAUAACGUAGGGAAACUUACGCUAAUACCGCAUACGACCUACGGGUGAAAGCAGGGGAUCUUCGGACCUUGCGCGAUUGAAUGAGCCGAUGUCGGAUUAGCUAGUUGGCGUGGUAAAGGCCCACCAAGGCGACGAUCCGUAGCUGGUCUGAGAGGAUGAUCAGCCACACUGGAACUGAGACACGGUCCAGACUCCUACGGGAGGCAGCAGUGGGGAAUGUUGGACAAUGGGCGCAAGCCUGAUCCAGCCAUACCGCGUGGGUGAAGAAGGCCUUCGGGUUGUAAAGCCCUUUUGUUGGGAAAGAAAAGCAGCAGGUUAAUACCCCGCUGUUCUGACGGUACCCAAAGAAUAAGCACCGGCUAACUUCGUG
rnacentral:rRNA from 1 species